CCGCGUUUGAAUGGCCCUGAGUGGGACUGGGCCCAGAAGCCGAGGGACGCUCUAGGCUGCCGGGCGCUGAUCGUCAGCGCCGAGGCUGGGCUGAGGCGCCGCGGUACCAUGAGGCGCCGGUAAGUGACUGCCGAGCCGGUGCGAGCCCCGCGCCCGCAGCUGCCCUGCCCUGGCGGGGCUAGUCCAGCCGGGCUUGGCCGCGCCCUGGGCCCACCUGCAGGCCCCCGCGGCGGCCUCGGCUCGGCCCGGCUCGCGGCAGCGCUGCCGGGUCGCGGGGCGGGGCGGCAAGGCCGGGGCGGAGCCCCUCUGCCGGCCCCUGCGGGGAGGGUCGGGCGGCGGGCGCUGGGGGGCUCCUGGGGCCUGGGCCGGGAGAGACGUGAACGGAACCUGUUGUCACUUAUUUAUCUUCGGGUGGAGUCGACAGCUGCACCUGGGGAAGGUGAAGGACAGAACGAGUGUGGGGCGAGCUCUUUUGUGGACAGGUUUUCCGCAGAGCGCCUAGGCCCGGCCCAGGCAUUUCCUCAUUUUCCGACGGGUCCUCGGAUUCCUGACGGAUGAGCUUUUGUUUCGCAGGACAAAAACUUGACAUAACUGCAUAAGAAUUGUCGAUUGCAACUUUAAAAACCUUAUUGUAUUUUCUGAAAAGUUGUUCUGUAAAGUAUCUAGGCUUUUACUACGCUCUUAAAUUGCUUAAAUAUGGAGAUAACAAAGAGUUGGUUUUCUUGUGGCUUAUAAAUUUCCUUGAAAACAGAGGUACCUAUGUCAGUUUCUUUGCUGAUUUAAAAAAAAUUGUAAGAGAAAUUAGUUGUGUAAUAAUCAUCAGUUCAGCACUUGCGAGAAUUAUGAGAAACUAGUCCACCUAAUAGCUUAAAUAUGCUGGUUUUUUGGAGUUUCUUUGGAUAGCCAGCUUCGGACUUGAAUUGAAACAUCAUCCAUUGAGGCUUUUACUUGGCUAAUAACUAAUAUUAGCCAAUAAUAAUAUUAGUCAGUGUGAUCAUAAUGAUGGGCAAUAUUUAUUUUGUGCUUUCUAUGCGCUAGACGUAUUAAGAGCUUUGCUUUGGGAUAUCUACGGUUGUCCCCAUUUUGACAGUGAAGAAACUAAGGCGCAGGAAAUUUUAGUAUUGUAACUUGUACCGUACAGGGUUACACAGCUAAUAUAAUUAACACCCGAGCAGGCUGGCUCCACGCUUUUAACUCUGCUCCUCUACUACCUCCUUUAUAUGUGGCUCUUUUUAGUUUACAAAGCCCUUUCAUUUCAUUUACUUCAACUUCGGAGACCUGAGUGUGCCUUUGUGUACACAUACAUUCAUUCUCACACCAUUCAUUCAAGUUUUCUGCUCUUGAUGAUUAUACUUAAGGUUUGUGUCUGAGCAAAAAAUCCAUUGACUAUUUUAAGAUAAAUGGAGUUUAUAAGCUUUAUGUGUGUUAUAAUUUAUGUUUUGGAUUCCUUUAUAUCCUUUCCUGAAAGUUUUGAAAGUGUUAGUCUUAGCAACUUACGUAUUACUUUAAAAUAAAAAAAUUACAUGUUAAAUGUUUUCAUCCCUAAAA
rnacentral:sRNA from 1 species